rnacentral:lncRNA from 1 species
UCAAUCUCAAAAAAGUCAGAGGCCAAUAAUGGAAUGAGGUCUUCUUUAGGAUUAAAAGAAGCACCCAGCUAAAGAAGCUUAUGAAUGCAUAUUGUGACCGGUAGUCGGUGAAUGCAAUUCGAUCGCAUUCUUGUCUAAUGAUCGUCGUUUUCGAGCCAGAUGAGCUGGAGAUGGAGGAUGGCGAUGAAAUUGAGGCAAUGUUGCAUCAAACUAGAGGCUCAACUGUUUGACUGAUCUCUUCCGCUUAAUGAAUAUAGCUUGUGCUCGGACCUGUAGGAGCAUAGAUGAGCUUCGUGGUUUUGCUCGGACCAGCUUUAUUGAACGUAAUUACAUUACCUUCUGUUGUUGCAAGAAGAUCAUCAGUUGCUUCUUGCCAUGAAAUUAAAAUAUUUUUAGUUCUAUCUAAAUAAAAUAAAAUAAAAAAAUCCCUCAAUUAAAUUUAGUAUUUCCUGUUUUGUCGAGCCAAAUGCGACUUAAAAAUGUGAGUAAGAAGGAGUAAGUAGUCCAACCUUAAGGAACCAUUUGAUUUGGGUCAUUUUGUUAAAUACUCCCGUACUUGCCAUGAAAUUCCCAAGUCAAUUAUAAAGUACUAUCCCAAGGAACCCAACUACCGAGUCGUCCAUUUCUCCUGAAAUUCCCAAUUCCAUUGCCACCAAAAAGAAACAAGAAAAUCCCAAUCCACUGUACCCACCACCAUGACACCACCACCAGUCUUCAUCUCCUCCGCCGCUCUCCCAACCCUCCUUUCUCACAAAUCCCUCAUCGACCACCUUCAAUUUUCCCUCCCCACCUUCACUUCCACCACUCAAUCCCAUCUUCGCCAUGCCCACCAAACAAGCCCUUCCACUUCUCUCCUCCUUAUGCCUUCUUGGUCUCUUUCCCCUUCACUUCCCUAUAUUGGUGUCAAGCUAGUCACUUAUCACCCCAACAAUUCCACCCAAAAUUUACCUGGGGUUCACGCAAGUUAUGUUCUUUUUAAUUCCAUCACUGGACAAACCUUAGCCACUAUGGAUGCCACUGAACUCACUGUCUACCGAACUGCUUGCAUCUCAGCUUUAGCUUCUAACUUCUUAUCAAGACAA